rnacentral:sRNA from 1 species
AGAUAUUUUACUGUAUUUAUAAUAUUUUUUAAAUACAUGUUCAAAAUAUGUUAAAUCAAUGUUGCAAAAAAAUUAUUUUUUUAUUAUUAUGUAUAGUUUAUAGAAAAUUGAUAUUUCUUAUAAUUAUAAAAAUUUAAUCUGCACCGCUUGAUCCACUUUCACCAUUCAACACAUAUAAAGCGUUUGAACAGGGUUUGAAUGUAGGGCGCGUAUCGAGUGGUUUAGGGACGGUUCAAUUAUUAUGUUACCAUUCAACAUCACUUUAUUAUGUUAUCUGUGGUUUGAUAAUUAAAAAGUAAAAAAUAAAAUAACACUGAUGCGGUUCAAAAGUGUAAUCGAAAAAACAAAACUGUAGUUAUCAAAUUAUACGGCAUAUGUGGUUUCAAAACUUUUACGUGCGGUUACAUUUUUUUAUUAAUUAGUU